rfam:Fusarium oxysporum sti35 gene, complete cds.
UCAUGCAUGAGCCGGUGCCCAUUCUUCUCCCAUCAGCAUGGUCAGUUCAAACUGGUCGUGUUGAUGAUAGGGGGAUGUGGCUGAGAUUAUACGGCAAAACUUGAUCUGGAUAAUACCAGCGAAAGGAUCAUGUCAUCUCCCCUA